GGAGUAUUCCUCUACCUGUUGGGAGGUUGGUGAUGAACCAAUCAGAAUGGAGUAUUCUACUACCUGCUGGGAGGUUGGUGAUGAACCAAUCAGAAUGGAGUAUUCUGCUACCUGCUGGGAGUGAGGACCGUGGUGGACGUGAUGCGUUCUAACCUCAACACAACCCUCUGAAACCAGAUGUUCACCAGAUGUUCAGCAGCCAGAAGAGCUUUACAGAUGCUCCAGUAGCUCCAGAGAACCCUCCACAUCUGUCCAACGCACAGUCAACAGAAUGCAGGAAACCAAGUCUCUGAGACUCUGAUGUUUCUGAGGGACCUCCAGACCUCCAGACCUUCAGACCUCCAGACCUCCAGACCUCCAGAUCUCCAGACCUCCAGACCUCCAGACCUCCAGACCUUCAGACCCCCCGCUGUGGUGUAGAAAUACUCCAUAUUUAUUCAUUUUAUUGUAUUACGUCUCGAUGCUGGAAAGUGUGACGAAAGUCAGGAUCAUUCAGCAGAGUUUGGGUUGAUGGAUUUGAACGGCAUUCAGCUGAUAAUACUUCCAUACUGUGUCUUCAGUGAGGUUUCAUACUGUACUUUUACUUGUAGUGGAGUAUUUCCACGGUGUGGUAUUAGUACUUUUACUUGUAGUGGAGUAUUUCCACGGUGUGGUAUUAGU